AUUGAACGCUGGCGGCAUGCCUAACACAUGCAAGUCGAACGAGUGGCGGACGGGUGAGUAAUGUCUGGGCAACUGCCUGAUGGAGGGGGAUAACUACUGGAAACGGUAGCUAAUCCCGCAUACCAUCGGAUGUGCCCAGAUGGGAUUAGCUAGUAGGUGGGGUAACGGCUCACCUAGGCGACGAUCCCUAGCUGGUCUGAGAGGAUGACAAGCAAAACGGGAACUGAGACACGGUCCAGACUCCUACGGGAGGCAGCAGUGGGGAAUAUGGCACAAUGGGCGAAAGCCGGAUGCAGCCAUGCCGCGUGUAUGAAGAAGGCCUUCGGGUUGUAAAGUACUUUCAGCGGGGAGGCGUUACCCGCAGAAGAAGCACCGGCUAACUCCGUGCCAGCAGCCGCGGUAAUAC
rnacentral:rRNA from 1 species